rnacentral:rRNA from 1 species
UACGGGGGGGGCAAGCGUUGUUCGGAAUUACUGGGCGUAAAGGGCUCGUAGGUGGCCAACUAAGUCAGACGUGAAAUCCCUCGGCUUAACCGGGGAACUGCGUCUGAUACUGGAUGGCUUGAGUAUGGGAGAGGGAUGCGGAAUUCCAGGUGUAGCGGUGAAAUGCGUAGAUAUCUGGAGGAACACCGGUGGCGAAGGCGGCCUCCUGGACCAUUACUGACGCUGAGGAGCGAAAGCCAGGGGAGCAAACGGG